rnacentral:rRNA from 1 species
CUCUGUGACUCCGUACGGGAGGCAGCAGUGGGGAAUAUUGCACAAGUGGGGGAAACCCUGAUGCAGCCAUGCCGCGUGUGUGAAGAAGGCCUUCGGGUUGUAAAGCACUUUCAGUAGGGAGGAAGGUAGUGUAGUUAACACCUGCAUUAUUUGACGUUACCUACAGAAGAAGCACCGGCUAACUCCGUGCCAGCAGCCGCGGUAAUACGGAGGGUGCGAGCGUUAAUCGGAAUUACUGGGCGUAAAGCGCAUGCAGGCGGCCUGUUAAGUCAGAUGUGAAAGCCCCGGGGCUUAACCUCGGAAUUGCAUUUGAAACUGGCAGGCUAGAGUCUUGUAGAGGGGGUAGAAUUUCAGGUGUAGCGGUGAAAUGCGUAGAGAUCUGAAGGAAUACCAGUGGCGAAGGCGGCCCCCUGGACAAAGACUGACGCUCAGAUGCGAAAGCGUGGGGAGCAAACAGGAUUAGAUACCCUGGUAG